rfam:Habropoda laboriosa contig1452, whole genome shotgun sequence.
ACUUCGGCUUUUUUGAACGACAGAAAAGCCACUCACAUUUGAUUAACAAUUAAAU